rnacentral:lncRNA from 1 species
UGUUUUUGCAGGAAUAAUUCAAGACUUCAAGACUCCAUGUCUAAGUCAUAGAGUUUGUAUUAAGGUUGUAAAAGUGUAAAUUUCGUUUAUUGGAUUGAUCAUGCAGGAGAUUAUCGUUUGGUGAUUGCGAUGAUCUUCUUUUUAUUAUUUAUUAGUUGUGUACGAACUUUGUAAUAUAUUUUGUCACGAAAUCGCCAAAGGGGGAGAUUGUUAAGGAUUUUAUAGGUUGGCGGAUUUCGUAAUGUUGAAUGGAGUCUUGAAGAGUUGAUUGCAGAAGAUUGAAGAAAAGAUCUAAAUUGAAG